UCCAAGCUUCUGAAUGACGCUUCUGGCUACAGACCUUUCCCACGUGUAGGUGGCAAAGAGAGCAUCCCCAGUAAUGUGGCCACCCAGACCAUCCUGGCUGGAAGGGGUCAGGGAAAGGGGUCAAGUCAGGGCUGUACUCUCGUGCUGGACUUCCCGGUUUUCCACCCAUUUCCAGCACAUCGCUUAGGACUGGGAGCGCUCUUUCCUCCUACCCUGGAGUCCUGCGCACCUAGACGUCUCUCAAAGGCAAGUGAAUCAAGUGCAUCUUGGCCUUACAGGACUCAGAUAACAAAACCUACUGAAGUCUGAGAUUUGAGUAUGCUGGAAAUAAUUCCCCACGAAAAUUACAAUGAGGUUGUGAGUAAGAAUUAAAGGAUACAUAAGAAAAGGCACACUUAUCUGGAAUCAGGAUGGAAACGAGUAUAGCAAGACGAAAUGGAGUAUGUUGCAUACUUCAUUGCCAGAGAAAAGGGUUUCUUGCUGGGAGAGAGUGAAAAACUUGGAAGGGCUUCUCUGCUGCCUCCUGGCUAUUUUUAGAUGGAUCCUAAGCUGUGAUGGCCUUGAAUUUCAGCCUUCAACAAACACCAAAGCACAACAAACCAAAGAAACUAAAAUUAGCACAGCUGCUUUUGUCUCUGCCCUAAAGACAGAAUGUUGGGUUACGGUAGUCAUAUAUUUCUACUUCGUUCUUUGUAAUCUUAGGUGUCAGAAUACUUUUCCCAAGUUAUGGCUUUAGCAAAGGGUGAACAUUCCCCCAAACUAUUUCUAGAAGCAAAGGUGAUGGAGUCAAACUGUUGAAUAAAAAAUUCUACCUUAACAGGAUUUGUGCAGUGUCUAUGGAAUAGCCACUGAAUCUGUGUACCCUCACACUGAAAUGAGGGUAGUGUCAAUUGAGAACUAAAUUUAAAAUGUAGUUUUAAUUUCAUUUAUGUUUAACUUAUCUGUGAUUAGAGGUUGCUAUGAGUUCAGACUUAAGACAGUAAAUAUGCUCUAAGAACAACACAUAAUUUGCUUCCACCUAAAUUAAGUAGUAGGGACAGUUUUCAUUUUUGCAAAUCUAGAUAUAUUUCCAUAGAGGCCAUUUGUUAAUCCUCUUGGGAUCUUAAAUAGCUCUAUUAUUGCAACUGUCUUCAUUUUUGUCUUGGCUAGGCUGAGGAACUUGAAGGGCUGAGCAUGUUAAUCUACAAUGAGUGUAAUUUCCAGAAUUUGCCCAAGCCCAGAGCAUCGUGAAUUACAGACUCAGGACACUGUAACUAACAAAAUUUGAUUUACAUUGCUGUGUGUUAUUUCCUCUGAUUUGACUCUAACUGUGCCUUGCUUCUUCUGUCUUGGAGUAAGUAUGCAACCUGAUUCUGAUUUUAUAAGAGCUCAGUUAGGAGACUUUCUGUAUUUAAAAGUUCUUGAACUUUUAAGUGUUGAAAUUUUUAAGACCCUGGAACUUUUAACUUUUGGACUGUUUUGUAUUAUGGCGUUAACAUAAUAUCUUAAGGACAAGAAAUGAAUAAGAUUUGGAAUAAGGUUCUGUGUUUGUGUCUCAAAGUUGACAUAUGUGGAAUGUCAUUGCUUUUGUCAACCUGACACAAACCUAGACUUACUUUGAAAGAGGGAAUAUUCACGGAGGCAUUGUUUUUCUACAGUUGGCCUGUGAGCCUGUGUGUAGGGUAUUUUCUUGAUUUUUUAUUGAUGUGGGAGAGUCCGGCUCACUCUGAGUGGUACCAUCAGUUGGCAGGUGGGCCUUGGCUUUGUUAAAAAAAAAGUCACCAAGAAAACAAUGGAAAGAAUGCUGGUAAGCAGUCUUCCUCUGUGAUCUCUGCUCCAGUCCUGCUUCCAGGUGUCUGUCCUGAGUUCCUGUCCUGAUAUUUCUGAUGUGAUAUAAAAGUGUAAG